AGUGAACGCUGGCGGCGUGCCUAAUACAUGCAAGUCGAACGGAGAUUAAGUAGCUUGCUAUUUACUCUUAGUGGCGCACGGGUGAGUAAUAUAUAGCUAACUUGCCCAUUACUAAGGGACAACAGUUGGAAACGACUGCUAAUACCUUAUACUCCGUAUCUAUAUAAGUAGAUACGGGAAAGUUUUUCGGUAAUGGAUAGGGCUAUAUCGUAUCAGCUAGUUGGUAAGGUAAUGGCUUACCAAGGCUAUGACGCGUAACUGGUCUGAGAGGAUGAUCAGUCACACUGGAACGGAGACACGGUCCAGAAUCCUACGGGAGGCAGCAGUAGGGAAUAUUGCUCAAUGGGGGAAACCCUGAAGCAGCAACGCCGCGUGGAGGAUGACACUUUUCGGAGCGGAAACUCCUUUUCUUGGGAAAGAAUUAUGACGGUACCCAAGGAAUAAGCACCGGCUAACUCCGUG
rnacentral:rRNA from 1 species